rnacentral:lncRNA from 1 species
CGUUAGAAGUGUGAAGAACACGAGAUAAGUUAGGUGUGUUUUACGUGAUACAGAAAAAUCUUAAUUCCAAAGAAGAUAUAAAUUAAAAUAAUAUACUUAAGAAUCAUCUGUUCAAAUACAAGAGUACAAAUAUACACACAAAAUGCAGCGACCAUUCAGAAUAA